GCGCCUGUAGCUCAAUUGGUAGAGCAGUGGCCUCUUAAGCCAUUGGUUGAAGGUUCAAGUCCUUCCAGGCGUA
rnacentral:tRNA from 1 species